CCGGAACCCGCGGCCGCUUGGCAAAGGCAGACGGAGACGCUGGGGCGUGCCUCUGUGCCUGCCAGUAAGACAGGGAGGAAGGCAGGAGGAGCCACUGAGCAAAACUUCGUGGAGUUGGGUCCCAGGUCCUGACUCCAGGCUCCCGCGUGCUGCAGGAUGACAACUGUUCAUCACCUGAGCCCUGACCUGGACAAGCACGGUCUCCAGCUGUGUCUCCGCCAGAUACUGAGGAGCCACAAAACCCAGGUGAAAGCGUUGCCUAGUUAGUCUGCAGAAGAAAGCUGGGGCGCAGAGCUGAGGGGGCGUGGGAAGAGGUGGGCGGUGAGGAAAGGAUUCGAAGGCCAGGGUCAGUCCUGGAAACCACUGGCCUUGGCUCUGUUUCAAGUUCUACAUGCUGCCCUGCCCCUUGUCUUUGUCCCAGAACAGGAGGCCAGGCUCCUGCUGGGGACGGCUCUGGCUUCCAUACAGGGGAUCCCUGUGACAUCCCACAAUGAAGCAACUCUCCCAUGAUUGCUCUGGGGAGGAGUGGAGAGACAAGGGUGCCACGUGAGCACGGAUGGCAGUCAGGAGCACAACCAUGACCCCGACACCCCAGGCUCAAAUCCUCUUUAAGUGCUGGUUACAUCACCCCAGACCAGUGGGUCUCCACCUUCCUAAUGCUGCGACCCUCUAAUACAGUUCUUCAUGUUGUGGUGACCCCAAACUAUAAAAUUAUUUUUGUUGCUACUUCAUAACUGUAUUUUCGCUACUGUUAUGAAUCAAAUGCCGGAUAUCUGAUAUGUGACGCUUGUGAAAGGACCGUUCAACCCCAAUGGGUCGAGACCCAUACGUUGAGAACCACUCUCCUAAACCAAAAACCCUGACUCCCCAAGUCUCAGCUCCGGCAUCUGUCUUGUGGCAGACAAUGACCGUAGCACCUUCCCAUUCCUCCAUGAGAAUGCAGGACCAGAAGUUACAGCAGAUGUAGCCUGUGCCAGAAACGCUUAAGAAGCCCUUCUACUUCUAUUCUCUUCUUUGGGUCUUGAAUUCCUGUGACCUCUAACCUCCUCCCUCCCAGGACCAAACCAGGAAUGUAGAAAGUUCUUGACAGGCAGACGCAGGUGGCAUUAUUUUUGCGGUGACUACUUGGCUGUGACUCCCAAUUUUCCCACCCCUGCUGGUUCACCUUUUAACACACGCCUUGAUUUUAGCCAGACUCCGUUUCCUGUUGUCAGGUGGUGGAGUCCCCGCCUGUGGUACAUGGUGGGAUGUCAGCUGUGUGUGUGAAAGGAAUUACAGUCCAACCAACAGUAGGACUCAGCUCACAUUUCUCCAACCGUUAUGCGUGGCUGGACCUACACCUUUCGGUGCUGGCAGAGGGGUGUCAGUGGAUUCAGACAAUUAGCCGCCACCCAGAAAGACAAGCACAGGCCAUAUUUAGAUUCACUUAAACCCACAAAGCCGGAAGAGGGGGCAGGACACAGGUUAACAUCUCAUUAGGCACAAGGAGAAGAUCCAGAGAGGUCGAGAGUCAAAGGCCAUGUGGCAAUGAGAACUGGAUCUUGUGAAACCAGCCCGCCAAGAAGGGUUCUGGAAGAACUGUUUUCCCAGACUCACCAGCGUUCUCUGCCUGUGUUAGAAGCCAUUAUCCUGUGAGCCAAAGUGCUACCAUCUUCAUGAGAUCAGAAGGACACCGCAUUGGACCUUCACCCGAGUUUCCGGCCACUCCUCCCAGGCAACUCUGCCCUAAUUGCCUAAGGUCUCUAGAAAGGGCAAGAGUGUACAGACUGUGGAGGACUGGGGAGGACGGCUUCCCUAUGCAGCUUCGGGGGGCCAUCAUCCAUGCUGGGUGAAGACGUUCCAGUGCGGCUGCUUUGGGGUCACCAGCGAGUGCUCUGUAAGUAAGCCCAGUAAACUCACUGGUUCCCCAGGGUGAACUGUGGUGAAACAGUAUUUCGGUUUGUGUCAGGACCUUGGGAGGAAGAGGGACAGAUGUUCUCAUCUCCCCAGGGAAAGACUUUUCACAACAGCCCAACCAAUGGCCUGAGGCCUCCAUCAACACCAGGUUCCUUUGGCCAAAGUGCACACGGUCCUUCUCUGGUGAAGCUUACAUGGUUAUCUGCUUUGGAAAGCCGGGGGGCCCUUGUGUGUGAGAACUGGCCCAAGGUGCUAGGAGACUGAAGAAAGGUGAACAGACCCAGGCCUGGACAGAGUACAGUUUCCUGGGGACUUAUGGAUAAAAGUAUUCCGGGGGUAGGGGUGAGGGCUGGAGAGAUGACUCUGCUCUUCCAGAGGUUCUGAGUUCAAUUCCCAGCAACCACAUGGUGGCUCACAACCAUCUAUAGUGGGAUCUGAUGCCCUCCUCUGGCAUAAAGUCGUAAUGAGGAUAGUGUACUCAUAUACAUAAAAUAAAUAAAUCC